CAGUAAAUAGUUUAGUUAAAAUAUUAAUUUUGGGGAUUAAAGUUGAGUUAUUCUCUUUACUGA
rnacentral:tRNA from 1 species